rnacentral:rRNA from 1 species
AGUCAUAUGCUUGUCUCAAAGAUUAAGCCAUGCAUGUCUAAGUUCAUACUCCUUCGGGGGUGAAACUGCGAAUGGCUCAUUACAUCAGUUGUGGUUCAUUAGAGCGUGCCUUCCUACUUGGAUAACUGUGGGAAUUCUAGAGCUAAUACAUGCAAUCAGGCUUGGACGCUCGGAAACGGGCUGGAAAAGCGCUUUUAUUAGACCGAAACCAAACUGGACUUCUGCUUGUCAGUUGUUUCAGACCCUUGGAUUACCAGGGGGCUUGGUGACUCUGAAUAACCACAGGUCGAUCGCAUGGCCCAGUGCCGGCGACGAAUCUUUCAAGUGUCUGACUCAUCAACUUUCGACGGUAGGUUAAGAGCCUACCGUGGUUUUGACGGGUAACGGGGAAUUAGGGUUCGAUUCCGGAGAGGGAGCCUGAGAAACGGCUACCACAUCCAAGGAAGGCAGCAGGCGCGCAAAUUACCCACUUCCGAUACGGAGAGGUAGUGACGAAAAAUACGGGGAAGGGACUUUAAGUCCCCGCUCCGCGAAUGAGGCAACUCUAAAUCCUUUCACGAGGACCUAUUGGAGGGCAAGUCUGGUGCCAGCAGCCGCGGUAACUCCAGCUCCAAUAGCGUAUAUUAACAUUGCUGCGGUUAAAAAGCUCGUAGUUGGAUCUGAGCUUCAGCCGGUUUCAGUGGGGUCGUAGUACGUUCUCCGUCUGAGCCGAUGCUGGGCUUCUAACAGCUGGGUGGCCGGCUGUCUUGGUUAUAUGUUGGCUGAAGGGAAACCUCCUGUCAUCUAUAGCUUUGAGACGGUGGCAAGGUGCCCAGUUACCUUUACUUUGAGAAAAUGAAAGUGCUCAAAGCAGGCUUUAUAUGCCUGUGUAUCUCGGUGCAUGGAAUAAUGGAACAGGGCCUCGCACCUGUGUUUGUUGGUUUCGGGGCGCCCAGAGGUAAUGAUUAAGAGGGACGGUGUCGGGGGCAUUCGUACUGCAGCGUGAGAGGUGAAAUUCUUGGAUCGUUGCAAGACGAACAGCGGCGAAAGCGUUUGCCAAGCACGUCUUUAUUAAUCAAGAACGAAAGUUAGAGGUUCGAAGGCGAUCAGAUACCGCCCUAGUUCUGACCGUAAACGAUGCCAACUAGUAAUCCGCCACUGGUCGCAAGACAGAUGUGGUGGGCAGCCCCCGGGAAACCAAAGUUUUUGGGUUCCGGGGGGAGUAUGGUUGCAAAGCAGAAACUUAAAGGAAUUGACGGAAGGGCACCACAAGGAGUGGAGCCUGCGGCUUAAUUCGACUCAACACGGGGAACCUCACCAGGCCCAGACACUGGAAGGAUUGACAGAUUUUUUCCCAUGAAGCUCUUUCUUGAUUCAGUGGGUGGUGGUGCAUGGCCGUUCGUGGUUGGUGGAGCGAUCUGUCUGGUUCAUUCCGAUAACGAACGAGACUCCGGCCUACUAACUAGGACAAAACUCCGUGAUUCAUUGCGGCGUUUUCAGUGCUUCUUAGAGGGACGGGCGGCGCUGAUGAAGCCGCACGAAGCCGGAGCAAUAACAGGUCUGUGAUGCCCUUUGAUGCCCUGGGCCGCACGCGCGCUACACUGAAGGAGGCAACGCGCUUCCUCCCUUGUGGAGGACAAGCCCGAUUUUCGGUGCGUUCCCAGUCUGAAAGGAUUGGGAAACCGCUGAAUCUCCUUUGACCUUUCGGGGUCCUUCGUGGUAGGAAUUGUGGCUUGAAAUUGUGCCUCAUGAACCAGGAAUUCCCAGUAAGCAUGAGUCAUUACCUCGUGUUGAUUACGUCCCUGCCCUUUGUACACACCGCCCGUCGCUACUACCGAUCGAAUGAUGUAGUGAGGCUUUUGGACCGUUCAGGAUCGACGCGAUGCGCUUGCUCUGUGAGUGCGUUGUGUCUUGAUCCCCGGGAAGAUGGCCGAACUGUAUCGCUCAAGGGAAGUAAAGU